AAGGCGAGGCUCUGCAUCUAGAUUUACCUCGUUCUCUUUUGUCUCCGCUUUUUUUUCACAUUUCCUUGCGCCCCUGGCCCUUGAGCGACAAAAAGGGGAAGCCAAGGCUGGCCCGAGGAACGGAGAGGGCACAUGGCCUAGCCACGAGUGGAGCUUCUGCUCCGCCCGAAGGGAUGCGCUGGAGCGGCCUCUUCCUUCUGCCACGGUCUUUCUUUGCCAACUAGUAGAUUUGGACAUUUACAGUGUUCAGCCGUUGUUGUGGCAUUCCAAUUCAAUUGGGAAACAGCUUGAUGUAGCGUCCCCAUAAGGUCCACAGUAAUUAAUUUUUUUUUUUUUUUUUGGUUCAGUGGUGCAAUUUCAUGGCUCACUGCAACCUCCACCUCCCAGGUUCAAGCGAUCCUCCCAUCUCAGCCUCCCUAGUAGCUGGGAUUACAGGUGCACACCACCACACCAGGCUAAUUUUUGUAUUUUUAGUAGAGAUGGGGUUUCACCAGGUUAGCCAGGCUGGUCUUGAACUCCUGACCUCAAGGGAUCCGCCUGCCUCAGCUUUCCAAAGUGCUGGGAUUACAGGUGGAGACUGGACCUCAGAAGAGGGAGUGGGUGCCCCGAGAACUCACAGCUAGUGGACAGCGGAAAGGGCAGGAGCCGGACCAAGGUGAGGACAGCGGAACUGAAGGCCGCUGGUUACCUCUCCUGCCCUCUGCUGGCCACAGUGGAGAAGACAGCCCCUCCCUCCUGCUCUGACCUGACAGUGUUCAUCCAUCGCCCUGUAUUAGCGAAGAACAACAUCAAGCUGGCUAGCAAGGAACUGUAUACAGGGUCCAGCUGGGUAUCACACUGGAUCUCACCCAAAGCUGAGAUGUGAUCCAGCUCCGUAUCACAAAGCAGAACGAAAAGGAUGUGUUUGGGCUGAGAGG
rnacentral:antisense_RNA from 1 species